rfam:Nomascus leucogenys chromosome 10, whole genome shotgun sequence.
GCCAGGUGCAAUGGGGCAUUCCUGUAGUCCCAGCUACUCGGGACGCUGAGGCAGGAGGGUCGCUUGACCCAGGAGUUCUGGGCUAUAGUGCACUGCUCCGAUCAAGUGUCUGCACUAAGUUCAGCAUCAAUAUGGUGACCUCUUGAGAGCAGGACGACCAAGUUUCCUAAAGAGGGGUGAACUGGCCCAGGUCAGAAAUGGAGCAGGUCAAAACUCCUGUGCUGAUCAGUAGUGAGAUUGUGCAUAUGAAUAGCCACUGCACUCCAGCCUGGGCAACAUAGUGAGACCUGUCUCUA